rnacentral:rRNA from 1 species
CACGUAGGGCGCGAGCGUUGUCCGGAAUUAUUGGGCGUAAAGGGCGCGUAGGCGGCACGGCAAGUCGGGAGUGAAAGCCCGGGGCUCAACCCCGGAACGUCUUUCGAAACUGCCGAGCUAGAGUGCGGAAGGGGCAACUGGAAUUCCCAGUGUAGCGGUGAAAUGCGUAGAUAUUGGGAAGAACACCUGAGGCGAAGGCGGGUUGCUGGGCCGACACUGACGCUGAGGCGCGAAAGCCAGGGGAGCGAACGGG